ACAAAUAAUGUAAAGAGAGAUGCCAUUAUAUUGUAAAAAGGCUGUGUCUCUCUCUCUCUCUCUGAUAUAAGAAUCUGUCGAUGCACCUUUUUUCGAACCACUUGAAAGAAUCCAUAAGAAACCCGCUUCCAUCGGUUUCUUCUUUCUUCUGAGUUUGCUGAAUUGUUGGGUGGGUUCUGCACUUCUGCCGACACAGAGUGGGAACUGGGAAGAAACAAAAGAAGAAAUUGAGAGGGUUCUGCCGCCUCCUCUCUGUUCUUUCUUACGAAUUGCCCCUGCCUCCUCUUUUGCGUAAUUACCCAGUCCAGGUGUUGGUAGCCUAUCGAACGAAAGGUGAGAGAGAGGCGGAGAGCGACAGAGGAAGCCUCUGUUUCUUUCUCUUUUCUUCUGCAGCUUUCAAGUUUUGACCUGCUUAACCAAAACAGAGCUCGCAGCGAUGAAGACCGAAACGACGGCAUUUCAAAUCGACCUGGUUUUUCCCAUCGCUGUUGACUUUCAUCAUCAAUUCCCUCCAACCCUUCUUCAAGGGAUUCAGAAAGGUUGAUCCAAACUGGUGGGAGUUUGCAAACGAGUGGUUCCUAAGGGGCAGACACAUUUAUUGAGAAAUGUUGUGAGGAGAAAACGCAACAAUAACUUUCCCUCUCAGAAUUGAUGUUCUGGAUUUCUGUUUCGCGGUUGGACCUGAUUCUCAAGUUUGCAGCUUUAAAAUCCCAAAAGCCAGAAGAGAUUUAGGGCUUGACAUAGUUUAAAAACCAUGGGAGAAGAUGACGUGUACACAAAAGAUUGGAGGGUUGAAUCCAUUCCAGAUGAGUUUCUCAAAUUUUGAUUUGUUUUUAGUCUUUCCCCAUUCUCUUCUUUUUACUAAAACCUGUCUUCUUACUAAAAACAUGUCUUCAUUUGUUUGUGUACAGCUCCUUGCAUUCUCUGGCUCAUGCCUACUUAACAGUAAUCGACCCAGAUGAUUUAUAUGAUCUGUUACAUAUGCCAAUGUAAUUCAUACGUGAUCUGUAUGAUAUAGUAUUGUGUAAUGAUUACAUCAGUUUAAAUGGUUAGUUGUAGUUGGAGUAACCGUAUCGGAAGUGCUUAGUGAGGGUGCACUUACUAUUCUUAGUUUCUUAUUCUUUCCUGUUGUUAGAAUUGUACUUAAUUAUCUCAAUUAUUUCUGCACGAUCAAAUUGAUUUUCCAUGGUGAUGUCUACUCAAUGUUAAUGAUCUGUAUGUCUUAUCAACUUCACGUUGUUCAGUACAUAAUUUUUGUAGCUCUGUUUAUUUGAAUCAGUCAUGUAGUGUUUCUAAACUGUAAUACAUUGCCCUAAAAAGGUUCUUCCCUUUUCCUUUCCAGUUUUAACAGUGUGAUUACCCAGUUCUGAAGCUUGAACCUAAUAUGUUACAAACAUUACCCAACUUCCCAUAACGAUUAUGAGUUAGUGUUUGCAUUGCAUUAUUGAUAUGUGGCUUCAGUUGCUUGCCUGUGGAGGUUAAUUUCAUGGUAUUGUUAAGAGGUUGGUUGUUCCUCUUGGAAAAUUGGUUUAUGGAGUGAUUCAUGGUCUUGGUUCGAAAAUUGUUCUUAUUUUUUCUUCAUUUUGGCUCAUGGUACUAUCAGAAUAGGUCUACAACUAUUUGUAAAUAUUCUUCUGAUAUUAGCUGUUCUUGAGUUUGUAGUGCUACUUUCUGCACUUGUACAUUUUGGUUUAAUGAGAAUAGCUUAUCAGAAUGGUGAGUAUAUAUUUUAGACCACUCAGUUCACUCUAAGACCAAUUUAGAUUUAUUAUCCUCAUAUCUAUAUAAUUUCCUACGCAAAUGCAGGUUUUUGAUAUUGAAGUUGAUGAGUUUUGGUCUGUAGGGAUAAGUGGAACAACUAAGCUUCAUUACUAGAAAAGUAGAAAGAAAAUACUUUUGAUUCUAAUCUUGAAGCCUAUGAGCAUGUUACAAUCAACGAAUCCACGAAUCUUUUAAGAUAGCAAAAAGUUUCAAAUCUGUUUGUUGCAAUAUAUGUAAAGCUUCAUCCUUUAUUUUUUUGGUAGGUUUUGGGAUUUGGUUUGUUCAUACCUAAGAAGAUAAACAAACUGUAAUUAACUAUUUCAAGGUGAUUUGUAUAUUUCCUUCUCUUUUUUAUUUUACAGUUAUUGCAUCUUUUGCAUGAUCAAGUUAACUGGGAUUUUGUAUGUACAGUCCAUGGAUUUGCAGAUGAGUCUUCAGUUGAAGAUGCAUUUGAGUCUGCCAAUGAAUUAGGUCAGUGGUAAAUCCCCAUUGUAGAAACUUGAUACCAGCUUGGUUAAAAUACCAGGUGUUUGCUUAAUUUUUCUCUUUACAAGCUUGUUUAAAAUACCAGCUUUUGUAAUAUGUUUAUAACAUUUUGAAUUAAUGUUUCCUAGCUUAUAAUUGUGAUUAUAUUACGUACAUCAUGAGUUGAGGAAAAAAAAAAUUUAACCCGCAGCAUCGCGCGUGAGCACUUUCCAGUAAAUUCAAAUCAGGUGACCCCUUGAUGGCCCUCCGUUGUUCGCUAGCUUACACUACCUAGUUUAACUCCCAACUUUCUUUUCUUUUUGAUGUUCAUUUCUUUUGGAAAAUUGAUGUUCAUUUCUAAUAUUGUAAAUUAGCAAUUACUGUUAGACAAUAAUAUUCGACUUAUGACUUGUUUCAAA